rnacentral:rRNA from 1 species
UACGUAGGGUGCGAGCGUUGUCCGGAAUUACUGGGCGUAAAGAGCUCGUAGGUGGUUUGUCGCGUUGUUCGUGAAAUCUCACGGCUUAACUGUGAGCGUGCGGGCGAUACGGGCAGACUGGAGUACUGCAGGGGAGACUGGAAUUCCUGGUGUAGCGGUGGAAUGCGCAGAUAUCAGGAGGAACACCGGUGGCGAAGGCGGGUCUCUGGGCAGUAACUGACGCUGAGGAGCGAAAGCGUGGGGGAGCGAAACAGG